AUGUAUCAUCUGUUUUCAUUAUCCAGCUCCUUCUGCUUGAGGUAAACUUAUCCCAAGAAAUGGAUCACCAUCAUCAACUUUCUGAAUCCAGUGAUGACAGCGAUGCUUUAGAUAAGAGUAUUGGUCUUCCUCCUUACUUUAACUGUGAUGGGAGUAAACCAGAGGAGAUACUACAGUGGAAACUUCAAUCUUUUGAUACAUUCAAAAGAUCCAUUGAGGAACUACAGUCAGAAUAUGAAAGAAAUCUCCCCACACUCACUGAUCAAAUGAAGAAACUGAAUGACAUCGCUGAUGAGAUUGAAUCUGUGCACAAGAACACUACAGUGGUCAGUUUGAUUGGAGGAUCAGUUGGAGCAGUUGGAGGAAUCGCAGGACUAGGGGGUCUGGCUUUAUCUCCAUUCACAUUAGCAGCUUAUUUGUGUGUUACUGUUGUUGCAGCUGUUGCUGGAGUAACUUGAGGAGUAACACGUGCAGCAUCAAACAUCACUAACAUGCUCAAGCAAAGAAAACUAUGUCCGACUGUUGAGAAGAUCAUCAGUGAUUUCCUGGAGACAAUCAAACCAAUGACUAAGCCUCUGAAUAUAAUUUCUAACAUCACUGCAGAUAUUCAACGGAACAAGCUGAAGUUUCAGACACCAGCAAGAGGUUUUGAUGACUCUUUAAAGAUUGCAAAAGUGCACUGUAAAAAAAAAAAAUCGUAAAAUAAUGGGAAAAAGUCUGGCAGCAAAGAUGCCAACCACUUUCCAUCAAAUGACAGUAAAAAACCUUCACUUAUUUUACAAAAAAAAGUUAUUUGAAAACGCAUAUUUACCGUAAACAUUUUCUGUAUUUUUAUAGUCAAACUGCUGUAGAAAGAAAACAAAUCUCAUAAAAAAAUCUCUGUUGAAUGUUAAACGAAUGUAUAAAUCUGCAUAAAAACUUAAAAAUAUUGCAGAAAUUCCUUAAAAUUACACAAUUAAAACCAAGACUUCUGUUUUAAUACAGUAUUAUUUGGUAUAUUUUAAAGUAAAGACUUUUCUAUGUAAAACACACAGAAAAUGUUGUAUAAUAACUUUCAGAUACCUUAAUUUAAAGCCCAAUACCAGUAUAUUGAUCAAUUUAAACUUUUAUUUCAUGUCAUUAUUCAAUCUAUAUACAGUCAAUUCCUGUUAGAUAUUGGUUUUAUCCUGUACAAAAAACACAAGCUCUUGUGAUAUUAGGUUUCAGGAACAUAUUUUAACAGUUAUUGAUUUAUAUAAACAUUAUUUGACAGUAUUAACAAGCAACUCUCCAAUAUUUCUACAUAUUUGUAGCUUCAAUACAAGGGUUUACUUUAAAUAAACAAUAUAUUAUAGUGAUUACAGGCUAUCCAAUGAACUAUCCAAUAAAUGUAUAUACAUUUACCAUCAAUGUAUGAGAUAUACUUUAUAUAAACAUUUAUUAAACAUUAAUUAAAAUCAACUUUCCAAUAUAUCAACAUGACAUUUACUCAAUGUAUGGGUUCACUUUAUAUAAACAUUAAUAGACAGUAAUUACAAGCAUUUCUCCAAUAUAUGCAAAAAUACAUGUUUAUUUUAUGUAAACCAUAUUUGAUAGCAAUUACAAGCAACUGUCCAAUAUAUCUACAUACUUUUUCCAUUACAGCAUGGGGUUUACUUUAUUUAACCACUGUUUGACAGUAGACUUGUGCCGGUAUUCGGUAAUGCGAUAUAUUGCGGUGAUUAAUAUGCAUGAUAUUGUUAUCGUGGGCACUUCUAAAUACCGUGAAUAAAUAUACAUUACAAAUUAUGCAGAAUUUGGAAUGCAUUUUAAGAAUAGUAUUCCCAUCAGCUGCUUAAAAACCUCUCAACUCGCACGUGUCAGUGUUUAUGAAUAGAUUAAUGAAACAGGACAAAUUUAAUCUUGACAAAAUAUAUAUCAAUAUAAAGAUCUAACCCUCAAGCAUCGAUGACAGAUCGCUGUUUUUUCAAUGGAAAGCUUAUAAAGACUGUAUUUGCUACAUUUGUGUAAGCAGUACACAUAAAAA